rnacentral:sRNA from 1 species
AUUUUGAGAUUUACCGAAGACAGUAGGUGCUAAAAGCAUAAAUCCUACCGAGGGAAGUUAAGUUAUAUAACUACAACCUUCACGUCUUUGGUGAAGGUUUUAUUUUGA